rnacentral:rRNA from 1 species
CCUACGGGGGGCAGCAGUAGGGAAUUUUCGGCAAUGGGGGGAACCCUGACCGAGCAACGCCGCGUGAACGAAGAAGUUAUUCGGAAUGUAAAGUUCUUUUAACAGGGAAGAAAGAGAAAUUUGACGGUACCUGAAGAAUAAGCUCCGGCUAACUACGUGCCAGCAGCCGCGGUAAUACGUAGGGAGCGGGCGUUAUCCGGAAUUAUUGGGCGAAAAGGGUGCGUAGAUGGCAUAGUAAGUCUUUUGUAAAAAUGCUGGGCUCAACCCAGUAGGGCAAAAGAUACUGCAAAGCUAGAGUAUGACAGAGGCAAGUGGAACUACAGGUGUAGAGGUAAAAUGCGUAAAUAUAUGUAAGAACACCAGUGGCGAAGGCGGCUUGCUGGGUCGAUACUGACAUUGAGGCACGAAAGCGUGGGGAGCAAACAGGAUUAGAUACCCGAGUAGUC